rnacentral:rRNA from 1 species
GACGAACGCUGGCGGCGUGCUUAACACAUGCAAGUCGUGCGGUAAGGCCCUUUCGGGGGUACACGAGCGGCGAACGGGUGAGUAACACGUACGCAACCUGCCCUUCACUUUGGGAUAACUGACGGAAACGGUGGCUAAUAACGGCUAUGACUUCCUCCCGCAUGCGGGGUGGUGGAAAGCCUUCGGGUGGUUGGGGAUGGGCUCGCGGUCUAUCAGCUUGUUGGUGGGGUGAUGGCCUACCAAGGCUUCGACGGGUAGCCGGCCUGAGAGGGUGACCGGCCACACUGGGACUGAGACACGGCCCAGACUCCUACGGGAGGCAGCAGUGGGGAAUAUUGGACAAUGGGCGGAAGCCUGAUCCAGCAACGCCGCGUGAGGGAUGACGGCCUUCGGGUUGUAAACCUCUUUCGCCUGCGACGAAGCGAGAGUGACGGUAGCAGGUAAAGAAGCACCGGCCAACUACGUG